GCUUUAGAUAAAAAGGAAAAAACUCUGCUCUGCGAGGAGGCCCUCAGCUCUACACAGAACGAAAUGCCAGAAACAGAAGGAAUGGAACAAGAUGUCUCCAGGAGAGGGCUUGUGUUACUGGGAGAACGAGUGGAGUCAGUUGGAAGGAAGAAGGAUCAUGUCUUCAUGGAGGAUGAGUAGCUCCACUGGUUAUGCCAAAGGUGAUUACAAGAUUUUUCUCCUCCAAACACCCUUCUGAUCUCUGCUUCCAAUUCUCUUGGCCCUGACAGGGUGGGAGCUC
rnacentral:lncRNA from 1 species